GACGUAGGGCGCGAGCGUUGUCCGGAUUUAUUGGGCGUAAAGAGCUCGUAGGCGGCUUGUCGCGUCGAAUGUGAAAUCUCAGGGCUCAACCCUGAAACUGCAUUCGAUACUGCGCGGCUAGAGUGCUGGAGGGGAGACUGGAAUUUACGGUGUAGCAGUGAAAUGCGUAGAUAUCGUAAGGAAGACCAGUGGCGAAGGCGAGUCUCUGGACAGCAACUGACGCUGAGGCACGAAGGCCAGGGGAGCAAACGGG
rnacentral:rRNA from 1 species